AUAUUCGAGUCCCUGCUCCCAGC
rnacentral:miRNA from 1 species